GUUAAGAUGGCAUAGCCCGGGUUCUGCAAAAGAUCUAAGCCCUUUUUACAGAGGUUCAAAUCCUCUUCUUAACU